AAAACUUCUCCCUUAAAUAGUAUUGUAAAAUACCAUAUGAGAAAAGAAAAGAAAGCAAUAAAAAGAAACCAAAUUGUAUUUUGACUGAAGCAAUUCCAACCACAUAUUUCACAAUCUUGUGUUAACUUCCCUGUCUGUGUUUCAUUUACUGCACUGACUUUGUCUCAAAAACAAUUGUCAUUACAGAAUUGGCAAGUGUUGAUUCUCUUCUGCAUCAUUUUAAAACAAGUUGUCAAGUGUCUAGCAAUAUAAGGCACAUGCUGCACUGCAGGGAUAUUGGAUUGGGACAUCAGAGUGUGGUGGGGACAGGAUGAGGCUGGGACAUCAAAGUGAUGGUGGGAGACAAGCUGAGACUGGGACAUUAGAGCGAUGGUGGGGACAGGCUGGGACAGCAGAGUGAUCGUGGGGACAGGCUGGGGCUGCGACAUCGGAGUAAUGCAAUUGACUCUAAUAACCCUGAUUCUUGUUGCAUUUUGGAUGAAGAGAAGGGCCUUGCUGAGGUCAUUGCAUUUGCUGUGGCCUCCACUCUUGCUCCUCCAGAUGACCUCCACAUUGCUGGCUUCUUCUUGGCUUCUCUUCCUAAAAAGCUUUGGUGGAGAGAUGAAUGUGGAUCUUGUUUACUUUGUUAACUGCUAUAUUCCUGGUUGUCAGAAUGGUGCACGUGAUAAGGCCUUAAUAAAUAUUUGUUGA
rnacentral:lncRNA from 1 species